UUUGGCACUAGCACAUAAUUGCU
rnacentral:miRNA from 1 species